rnacentral:rRNA from 1 species
UGGGGAAUUUUGGACAAUGGGCGAAAGCCUGAUCCAGCAAUGCCGCGUGUGUGAAGAAGGCCUUCGGGUUGUAAAGCACUUUUGUCCGGAAAGAAAUCCUUGGCUCUAAUACAGUCGGGGGAUGACGGUACCGGAAGAAUAAGCACCGGCUAACUACGUGCCAGCAGCCGCGGUAAUACGUAGGGUGCAAGCGUUAAUCGGAAUUACUGGGCGUAAAGCGUGCGCAGGCGGUUUGCUAAGACCGAUGUGAAAUCCCCGGGCUCAACCUGGGAACUGCAUUGGUGACUGGCAGGCUAGAGUAUGGCAGAGGGGGGUAGAAUUCCACGUGUAGCAGUGAAAUGCGUAGAGAUGUGGAGGAAUACCGAUGGCGAAGGCAGCCCCCUGGGCCAAUACUGACGCUCAUGCACGAAAGCGUGGGGAGCAAACAGGAUUAGAUACCCUGGUAGUCCACGCCCUAAACGAUGUCAACUAGUUGUUGGGGAUUCAUUUCCUUAGUAACGUAGCUAACGCGUGAAGUUGACCGCCUGGGGGAGUACGGUCGCAAGAUUAAAACUCAAAUGAAUUGACGGGGUCAUAGCUG